UACGUAGGGGGCUAGCGUUGUCCGGAUUUAUUGGGCGUAAAGAGCGUGUAGGCGGCCAGGUAGGUCUGCUGUGAAAACUCGAGGCUCAACCUCGAGACGUCGGCGGAAACCAUCUGGCUAGAGUCCGGAAGAGGAGAGUGGAAGUUCCUGGUGUAGCGGUGGAAUGACGCAGAUAUCAGGAGGAACACCUAUAGCGAAGGCAGCUCGCUGGGACGACACUGACGCUGAGACGCGAAGCGUGGGAGCGAACAGGAUAGAUACCGAGUAG
rnacentral:rRNA from 1 species